rnacentral:rRNA from 1 species
CCUACGGGAGGCAGCAGUGGGGAAUAUUGCACAAUGGGCGCAAGCCUGAUGCAGCCAUGCCGCGUGUGUGAAGAAGGCCUUCGGGUUGUAAAGCACUUUCAGCGAGGAGGAAGGGUAGUGUGUUAAUAGCACAUUGCAUUGACGUUACUCGCAGAAGAAGCACCGGCUAACUCCGUGCCAGCAGCCGCGGUAAU